rnacentral:rRNA from 1 species
GGAUUUUCCACCUAGUGGCAAACGGGUGAGUAACACGUGGGUUACCUACCUCUAAGUUGGGGAUAACAGUUGGAAACGACUGAUAAUACCGAAUGUGCUCUACGGAGUAAAGAAGCCCUUAAAGCUUCGCUUAGUGAUGGGCCUGCGGCGUAUUAGCUAGUUGGUGGGGUAACUGCCUACCAAGGCGACGAUGCGUAGCCGAACUGAGAGGUUGAUCGGCCACACUGGGACUGAGACACGGCCCAGACUCCUACGGGAGACAGCAGUUAGGAAUAUUCGUCAAUGGGGGAAACCCUGAACGAGCAAUGCCGCGUGAACGAUGAAGGCCCUAUGGGUUGUAAAGUUCUGUUGUUUGGAAAGAACUGUAAGAUUAGGAAAUGAUUCUUACUUGACGGUACCAUUCAAGAAAGCCACGGCUAACUGCGUGCCAGCAGCCGCGGUAAUACGUAGGUGGCGAGCGUUAUCCGGAUUUAUUGGGCGUAAAGGGAGUGUAGGCGGUUUGUUAAGUAUAAAAUUAAAGCCCGAAGCUUAACUUCGGUUCGUUUUAUAAACUGGCAGACUUGAGUACAGUAGAGGCAAACGGAAUUCCUAGUGUAGUGGUAAAAUGCGUAGAUAUUAGGAGGAACACCGGUGGCGAA